UCACUUUUUUAUAACCUCUCUUUAUUCAAUGAUCCGAACUAUCUUAUCUUCUCUGUUACUGAGAGAAACAAAAUGUGGCAUGAUUCCUCGCAAAAUUUAAAGUUUUGAUUUCCUUAUUUCUUUUCUGUGAAUGUGCAAAAUAGGGUUUUAAUUUUACAUAGUCUCCUCUAUAAUUACAGCCUUAAAUUCAUGAAUAUUUAAGAAGAUGAAGCUUUUGAUGGAUUAUCAGCUUGUAAAGAGAAAGAGAUUAAUAUUUUAGAGUGUUUUUUCAUUUUCGUGAAAUUUAUGAUGUUGUGCAAUUAAACCUUUAGAGGUUAAUUGCCAUCAAUUGUUGGAUUUCCUAAAGAAAAAAAAUUAAUGCGAAGCCUCUGUUAAUUGCCGAUUUAGCUUGGGUCAGCUAAGUUUAGUUUUUUGGCUUGAUUUUUAUGAAACCUAAUUUUAGUUUUUUUUUUUUUUGGUUUUCAUUAGAAAAAAAAGUUCUGAUUUUUGUUGUGUGGUUCUAUGAUUUAGAGGAUACGUGUGAUGUAAAAGCAAUUUAUCGAUACUAAUAGUUCCCUUGUUCUUUUUCAGUUUUUCCAAGUAAUCCAACUAUACCCUCCGAAUUUGUUGUUUUUUGGCAUAGUGAGAUGUGUUCUAUCAAUAUUUUAUUGAUUCUGUUGGUGGGGUUUGUUGAUUAGCUUGAAAGAUCGAAUCUUGAUCCUAUUUUGACAUCUCUGUGAUGCAUGUAAGACUGUUGUGUGUUUGGUGUUGUGUACAGGUAUACAUUCAAUAUAACUUUACUUUACAUAAAUCCAAAAGUUUAUUUAUUUUCUUAAAUUCUGUGUCAAUUCAAAACAGAUAUAUAUAUAUAUAUAUAUAUAUAUAUAUAAUUUCCCCUGAUUUUUGUUGUUUAUUGGUUUAGACUCCAUUGAUGUUAGCAGCGAUACACGGAAAGAUCUCUUAUGUGCAAAUGCUUAUUGAAACGGGGCCCAAUGUAUGCAAUACUAAAAAUUGGUGAACUGCCAAUUGUUGUUUUCUACAAAAUUUAUGGGUCUACCUAUUGAAAUAUAAUCAGAUUUUGAUAUUUGAUAUGUUGAAUGAAGAACAUACUUGUUGUUGCUGCCUAUUAUGGGCACUCAGAUUGACUCAAGACAACUCUUUGUGCUACUCAGACAUCACAUAUUGUGUCUUCCUAGUAUACCUCUUUGAGAAUUUACUUGUUUGUUUGUUCUUUCUAUAAUGUACAUUUAUCGAUUUAUUCUAAGUCAUUGUGUUGGAAUUAAAAUUUUAGGGGAUAUGCUCGGUUUGUAGACGUUAAAGAUAGUAAAGGAGCAACACUUUUGCACUUAGCAGCCCAUCAACAAAAAGGGUCUAAAUGUGCUCAUAUUUCACUAAACAAUAGUGCUCUAACUUGUGCUUCUACUGGUAGAUAUUGCUAUUUUUUUGUAAUUUACACAAAAAUAGUUUCCCAGGGAGUACACCACUUCAUUUGGCUGCAAGGGCUGGUUUUCUUGAUUGCAUCCGUGAAUUGUUAGCAUGGGGAGCAGAUCGAGUACAAAGAGAUCAUUCAGGGUUCAACAGGUUAAGAAUCUUAGGAAGCUUGGAAGUCUUUCUGAAGCAAGCAAAAAUCAGCAAGAUCUUAUGGCGCUCCUCUAAUCUGCCAUUUUAGUCUGCCACUGUUCUAGACAGCAUACGUUGAAUGUCAAAAUUUGAAAUCCAAGGGCUACACUUCUAUGACAAAAUUAUAAGGUAGGAGAAGGUGAUCCAACAUCCAAGUCGUCAAAGUUUUAUUUAUUGCUUAUUUGUAGAGAGAAGAUCAAAUAAGAAAAAGAUGGAGAGACAAGAUAGGAAUGGUAGAAAGAGAGAGAAAAAUUGCUCUGCAAAGAGUAGUAAGAGGAAAAGAGGUAUUAGAGUGAGCAAAGGGGUGAGAUGGAACAAAGAGAAGUUUUUAUAGAAAGAGUCUAUGAAAGUAAGUCAUUCUAUAAUUUCUUUAUCGGAGAUACCCAAUUCUAUGGAUUUAGGUAGAAAAUUGAGUUCGUUUGCUCUAUUACCUCUUGUAGGCAGAAAGAA